AGAGUUUGAUCCUGGCUCAGAUUGAACGCUGGCGGCGUGCCUAACACAUGCAAGUCGAGCGGUAACAGGUGUAGCAAUACAUGCUGACGAGCGGCGAACGGGUGAGUAAUGUUUCGGAAUCUGCCCAAUGGUGGGGAAUAACCAGCCGAAAGGUUGGCUAAUACCGCAUAAGUCCUACGGGAGAAAGCGGGGGAUCGUAAGACCUCGCGCCGAUGGAUGAGCCGAAACCGGAUUAGCUAGUUGGUAGGGUAACGGCCUACCAAGGCGACGAUCCGUAGCUGGUCUGAGAGGACGACCAGCCACACUGGGACUGAGACACGGCCCAGACUCCUACGGGAGGCAGCAGUGGGGAAUAUUGGACAAUGGGGGAAACCCUGAUCCAGCGACGCCGCGUGUGUGAAGAAGGCCUGCGGGUUGUAAAGCACUUUUAGUGGGGAUGAAAAGCUCAGGGCUAAUACCGCUGAGUCUUGACCUAACCCAAAGAAAAAGCACCGGCUAACUCUGUGCCAGCAGCCGCGGUAAUACAGAGGGUGCAAGCGUUAAUCGGAAUUACUGGGCGUAAAGCGUGCGUAGACGGUUAUGUAAGUCGGGUGUGAAAGCCCCGGGCUCAACCUGGGAAUUGCAUUCGAGACUGCAUAGCUAGG
rnacentral:rRNA from 1 species